GACGAGCGCUGGCGGCGUGCUUAACACAUGCAAGUCGAGCGGAGCGGCGAACGGGUGCGUAACGCGUGAGUAACUGCCCCCCUCUCUGGGAUGACAGUUGGCAACGGCUGCUAAUACCGGAUAGUGGGGGAUGACGCGCGUCCGAUCAGCUUGUUGGUGGGGUAGUGGCCUACCAAGGCGCCGACGGGUAGCCGGCCUGAGAGGGCGACCGGCCACAGUGGGCGGAGAUACGGCCCGAACGCCUACGGGAGGCAGCAGUGGGGAAGAUUGCACAAGGGGGGAAACGCUGAUGCAGCAACGCGCGUGCGGGAGGACGGCCUUCGGGUUGUAAACCGCUUUCAGCCAUGACGCGGUAGGGGCAGAAGAAGCACCGGCUAACUACGUGCCAGCAGCCGCGGUAAUUC
rnacentral:rRNA from 1 species